GACGAACGCUGGCGGCGUGCUUAACACAUGCAAGUCGAACGGAAAGGCCCUGCUUUUGUGGGGUGCUCGAGUGGCGAACGGGUGAGUAACACGUGAGUAACCUGCCCUUGACUUUGGGAUAACUUCAGGAAACUGGGGCUAAUACCGGAUAGGAGCUCCUGCUGCAUGGGGGGGGUUGGAAAGUUUCGGCGGUUGGGGAUGGACUCGCGGCUUAUCAGCUUGUUGGUGGGGUAGUGGCUUACGAAGGCUUUGACGGGUAGCCGGCCUGGGAGGGUGACCGGCCACAUUGGGACUGCGAUACGGCGCAGACUCCUACGGGAGGCAGCGGUGGGGAAUAUUGCACAAUGGGCGGAAGCCUGAUGCAGCAACGCCGCGUGCGGGAUGACGGCCUUCGGGUUGUAAACCGCUUUCGCCUGUGACGAAGCGUGAGUGACGGUAAUGGGUAAAGAAGCACCGGCUAACUACGUG
rnacentral:rRNA from 1 species